rnacentral:tRNA from 1 species
GGGCCGGUAGCUCAACCUGGUAGAGUGCUCCGUUGGCUUCGGAGAGGCUGCGGGUUCAAAUCCCGCUCGGUCCA